rnacentral:rRNA from 1 species
CCUACGGGGAGCAGCAGUGAGGAAUAUUGGUCAAUGGGCGAAAGCCUGAUGGAGCAACGCCGCGUGCAGGAUGAAGGCCUUCGGGUUGUAAACUGCUUUUAUAAGCGAGAAAUAUGAUGGUAACUUAUGAAUAAGGAUCGGCUAACUACGUGCCAGCAGCCGCGGUCAUACGUAGGAUCCGAGCAUUAUCCGGAGUGACUGGGUGUAAAGAGUUGCGUAGGUGGCAUAAUAAGUAGCUAGUGAAAUCUGGUGGCUCAACCAUUCAGACUAUUAGCUAAACUGUUAAGCUCGAGACCGUUAGGGGUAACUGGAAUUUCUAGUGUAGGAGUGAAAUCCGUAGAUAUUAGAAGGAACACCAAUAGCGUAGGCAGGUUGCUGGGACGGUUCUGACACUAAGGCACGAAAGCGUAGGGAGCAAACGGGAUUAGAUACCCCAGUAGUC